ensembl:lncRNA
AUGGUACGCAGGCCACCCAGGUCAGGGUUCAACAGAACACGUGCACUCCCGAAAUGGAGUUCCAGGGCUCUAAAAAAAAAAAAAACCAGAAGGAAAUCGGGGGAAAACAUGAGAACAGGUAAUUUUCAAAAGUGGAAAUCCAAAUACCAUUAUUACAUAUAUUUUUCCUUAUUUAAAAGAUUACUUAAAUUACUUAAUUACUUAGAUUAUUUAAACUACUUAAAAUUAUGGUAUUCGUAUUGUAUAAUUUUUUCACUUAAAGAGAGCAUUUCUGAGAAUUCAAAUGUAUCUUGCAUGCAAAAGUUUAUACAAUGUUAGCAUCAUAAUUCUAUUUAUAAAACAUUUGAAAAAGUAAAGCAACAAUAUAUCACUUGAAAAUAUUAAAAAUGCGGGGAAAACACCAUGAGAAGCUGGAAGCUUGCACAGUAAAACUACGAAAGUGGUGUCCUUCAGGAUAAGGCUGAGGGUAUCAGAGAACCUGAAAGAUUUAGUUGCGUUGUAUUUCUGAGAGAGAAAAAAAGACGAAGUGCUGGUAGCCGUUAAUGGUUUGGUUUGGAUUCUUCUGCUCCGUUUCCCCACUCACACAGAGAUGAUAGUUUUUUAAUGUUCCCCUCUUUUCUUUCUCUAAUGUGAGAAAGACAAACUCACUGUUUGAUCUAUAUGUUGUAAGAUGUUGCAAUAACAUCAUGAGAAAAAUAAUGGAAUGUUCUUGGUAUAAAAAUUACAGAGGGGAAACCCCAUGCUGGAUUCCCGCCAAGAUAUGCUUAAAAAAAAAAAUAAGUAAACUGCUGUAGUUUAUUUUCAAUUCAGUUUUAAAUGAUACAUGCACUUCAGCCUCACGAAGUAGAGAGAGAAGAGCAUAACGGUUCACGUAUAAUGAUUUUAGGCUGUUUGCCCUCACGGCAUUGUCACGCUUCUUGCAGUGAUUCUACACUUCUGCGUAGCCAGAAAUGCAAGUCUCUGAGACCACGCUUGGGACACACUCGCCAUUCACGGGCCGAGCCACAGGAUGCCACUGCUGGGUUAUGCUACGAUGGACUUUUACUUAGGCUGAGCCGAGCCACAGGAUGCCACUGCUGGGUUAUGCUACGAUGGACUUUUACUUAGGCUGAGCUGAAUGCGGAAAGAAAAACAUCUCUUUCUCAUAAACAGAAAAAUGACAAUUGUUUAAGGUUUAAGAUUCAAAAUCUGAUGAGCUCUAACUUUCAAAGUCCUUUAAGUUGGGUUUGAACAUCAUGGAUUGAAAUUGCAUGUCUUUUAUUAAUGGCAUUUCAGAAUCAAGUCAAAACAAAAUAUUUUGGACCAGUUUAAAAAUGUGAGCACUCACAAGUGUUCAGAACAAAACCCUCCAAGAGUUACAUUUUCAAACUUCAUUUCUAUGCCAGCUACGUGAAGUCGACUGCAUCAUGUAUAGACUCACAGACCUCUGUGGUGUAUCACUUGCUAAAACUGACCAUGUAUUCAUUCCUAUUUGAACCUAUCUAAAAUUGUUUUUUCACACGGGGCUGAUGUAGUUCUGAAAUCAGAGUUUUGGGUAAAUCACAUUACCUUUUCUUCUGAUUUACUCAAAGAUACUUCAUUUGUAUUUCUGAACUGGACCACAACAGACAGUUACCCUAACCCUUUAAAGCGUCUUUCCGGCCUAGUUCCAGACUCUAAGAAGCAAUUAAAGGUUUAUAAAUUAACCAUCAUAGGUCCCCGAGAAACAGAUAUUUAAAGGGAAGCAUUCCUUGUUUUAUGAGUAAAUAAAGUGUACAGUAAAGCACUCCCGAAGUAGAAU